rnacentral:rRNA from 1 species
UAGGGAAUCUUCGGCAAUGGACGGAAGUCUGACCGAGCAACGCCGCGUGAGUGAAGAAGGUUUUCGGAUCGUAAAGCUCUGUUGUUAGAGAAGAACGUUGGUAAGAGUGGAAAAUCUACCAAGUGACGGUAACUAACCAGAAAGGGACGGCUAACUACGUGCCAGCAGCCGCGGUAAUACGUAGGUCCCGAGCGUUGUCCGGAUUUAUUGGGCGUAAAGCGAGCGCAGGCGGUUCUUUAAGUCUGAAGUUAAAGGCAGUGGCUUAACCAUUGUACGCUUUGGAAACUGGAGGACUUGAGUGCAGAAGGGGAGAGUGGAAUUCCAUGUGUAGCGGUGAAAUGCGUAGAUAUAUGGAGGAACACCGGUGGCGAAAGCGGCUCUCUGGUCUGUAACUGACGCUGAGGCUCGAAAGCGUGGGGAGCAAACAGG